GGUGGGUUCGUCUAACGGUUAGGACACGUGCCUCUCACGCACGUAAUACGAGUUCGAUUCUCGUACCCACUA
rnacentral:tRNA from 1 species